CCACAUUGGGACUGAGACACGGCCCAAACUCCUACGGGAGGCAGCAGUGGGGAAUAUUGCACAAUGGGGGAAACCCUGAUGCAGCGACGCCGCGUGAGCGAAGAAGUAUUUCGGUAUGUAAAGCUCUAUCAGCAGGGAAGAAACUGACGGUACCUAAGGAGGAAGCCACGGCUAACUACGUGCCAGCAGCCGCGGUAAUACGUAGGUGGCAAGCGUUGUCCGGAAUUACUGGGUGUAAAGGGAGCGUAGGCGGGGAGACAAGUUGAAUGUCUAAACUAUCGGCUUAACUGAUAGUCGCGUUCAAAACUAUCACUCUUGAGUGCAGUAGAGGCAGGCGGAAUUCCUAGUGUAGCGGUGAAAUGCGUAGAUAUUAGGAGGAACACCAGUGGCGAAGGCGGCCUGCUGGGCUGUAACUGACGCUGAGGCUCGAAAGCGUGGGUAGCAAACAGGAUUAGAUACCCUGGUAGUCCACGCCGUAAACGAUGAUUACUAGGUGUGGGGGGACUGACCCCUUCCGUG
rnacentral:rRNA from 1 species